rnacentral:lncRNA from 1 species
UAUGCAAGUCAUGUCAAUAUUAGUAGCAUAACAGUUGUUAUACAUUAUGAAUUAUUGAUUGCCACUAAUUAGGUGUUUCACAUAAACACUAAUCUAUAUUACAGAUAUGUCUAGCAUAAGUUAGUCAUCAUUCUAACAUUUAGGUUGUCUUAUAAUGAUGAUAUAAAUACUACACAUCUGUCACAUCAUGCUAUGUUGGAAUUGCUUAUAUGCUUAUAAAUAGUAUAUUGUCAAAUUAUAUUGGGAUAUGUAUUAGAGACCUUUAAAGCCCUCUUAAAAAAUUAUAUUUAGCCAUAGUGUUAAAAAUCAAAAGCAAAUCCAUUUAGAAAAUGAGUGAUUAAUUGGUGUCUAUAAAAGUAGUUCUGGGA